rnacentral:rRNA from 1 species
CCUACGGGGUGCAGCAGUGAGGAAUAUUGGUCAAUGGGCGGAAGCCUGAACCAGCCAAGUCGCGUGAGGGAAUAAGGCCCUACGGGUCGUAAACCUCUUUUGCCGGGGAGCAAGGGCGGGGACGUGUCCCUGCCCGGAGAGUACCCGGAGAAAAAGCUUCGGCUAACUCCGUGCCAGCAGCCGCGGUAAUACGGAGGAUGCGAGCGUUAUCGGGAUUUUUUGGGUUUAAAGGGUGCGUAGGCGGGCUUUUAAGUCAGCGGUAAAGAUUCGGGGCUCAACCCCGUCCGGCCGUUGAAACUGGGGGCCUUGAGUGGGCGAGAAGAAGGCGGAAUGCGUGGUGUAGCGGUGAAAUGCAUAGAUAUCACGCAGAACUCCGAUUGCGAAGGCAGCAUACCGGCGCCCAACUGACGCUGAAGCACGAAAGCGUGGGUAUCGAACAGGAUUAGAUACCCCAGUAGUC